rnacentral:misc_RNA from 1 species
GUAGUCACCCGGGUUGCCGCAAGGCCUCUCGGGUAACCUACCACCCUUUGUUUAUUACACUUUGUUGCUUUGGCAGGCCUGCCUUCGGGCUACUGGCUCCGGCCGGCGAGCGCUUGCCAGAGGAUCUAAACUCUGUUUGUCUAUACUGUCUGAGUACUAUAUAAUAGUUAAAACCUUCAACAACGGAUCUCUUGGUUCU